rnacentral:rRNA from 1 species
UGGGGAAUAUUGGACAAUGGGCGCAAGCCUGAUCCAGCCAUGCCGCGUGUGUGAAGAAGGCCUUUUGGUUGUAAAGCACUUUAAGCGAGGAGGAGGCUACUUGGAAUAAUACUCUAGGAUAGUGGACGUUACUCGCAGAAUAAGCACCGGCUAACUCUGUGCCAGCAGCCGCGGUAAUACAGAGGGUGCGAGCGUUAAUCGGAUUUACUGGGCGUAAAGCGUGCGUAGGCGGCUUCUUAAGUCGGAUGUGAAAUCCCUGAGCUUAACUUAGGAAUUGCAUUCGAUACUGGGAAGCUAGAGUAUGGGAGAGGAUGGUAGAAUUCCAGGUGUAGCGGUGAAAUGCGUAGAGAUCUGGAGGAAUACCGAUGGCGAAGGCAGCCAUCUGGCCUAAUACUGACGCUGAGGUACGAAAGCAUGGGGAGCAAACAGG